rnacentral:lncRNA from 1 species
GGGCCCUGCGUGCACCUGCCAGUCCAACAGAUGGCACAUCUGCCCUACCUCAGGUCUACAGGGACCACCAGGAGGAAGGAGACCCAGGCUCCGGGCAGAGCUGCUUGGCUGCUCGGAAAUCACUGGCCCCACGCAGCUGUGUAAACAUCAGCGAACUGAAACGAAAUAAAAUUAAAAACCGACUUCCUUCUUGCACAACCCCAUUCCAAGUGCUUGGGAGCAGCCGCCUAUGGACCCCCGCUCUCACUGGGCAGGCUCUCUCGGAGGCCCUGGGGCUGCUCAGCUCCGGGGAGAGCUGGGGGUUGGGCAAGCUCAGAGGAAGGCUGCUUGGCCAACCCGUGGUUCAUUAACAGACUUCCAGAAACUCUGAGUCCAUCUACCCUAUCUUUCGAUCUGGAUUUUUAAAAGUUUUUGUUUCAGAGCCCUGCUCUGGGGUGCCCUGUAGACGCUGUUCUGGAAUGGUUAGGAGAAGAAUCGUCCUGAACACUGUUUAGGCCCGUGGCAUGGGGAUUAGACAACUUGCCAUCGCCCCCGCCACCGUAUUCUCCCCAGCUUUGAACACACUCUUCCCAGCUCUCUGGCCCCUUUCUGAAGCAGCUCGGGCAUUGCUCCUUGCUGCUGCGGGGGAGAGGAAAGGCCUCCAUUGCAGCUGGUUUUUGGGUGCUCACAGCUUAAUGGACAGAGAGUGGCUACCCCAGUACAGAAAGUCCAAGCGCACACCUCAGCAGUUCAGGUGAGCAGCUGGGGCGGCUCUCGAGGGGAGGACAAUCACGUUGCUGAAGGUUUUUAUCACCAGCAUGCCACGCUGACCACGUGGUAAGGAUCCCAACUUGGGGGCCUCCCCUGUGCCUUGACAUUGGGCUUAUGUCCAUCUGGACACGCCACUGUCACCCCAAACUCCGCACAUCCAGAGUGGAAAGCGCCUUUCCAAAUCCUGUGCCUUCUGUCUCGCUGCCACCAGGUGGUGGUCCCUUCAGACCCGGCAACCUGCGCCUUUCACGGAAGACAUUCCAGAGUCCUGUCAGCCUCUCCCUGCCUUUGUCCCCCUAGAUUAUCUGCCUGCCCAUUUCUUUACUGACUUUGUUACAAGCUCUGGGAUAUAGGCCCAUGCUUGUCCUGGUGCUUGGCUGCAGGAGGCCCGUGAGUUCCUUAAUACUGUGGUUCUCUCCGAACGGUGAUUGACAGAUGGUGCUUGGAUGACCCAUGACCCCAAGAGAAGAAAUGAACUUGAGAAAAUUCUGGAGAUGAAUCCUCAAAGCAGGGGUCGCUGAAUGUUUCCUUAAAGGGUCAGGAGGUGACUCGGGAGGUUUCCUCAGGUGGGAGCUGUACCAUUGUGACAUCUGUCCCUGACAGAGACCCACUCUGUGUGUGUGUGUG